rnacentral:rRNA from 1 species
UACGUAGGGUGCAAGCGUUGUCCGGAAUUAUUGGGCGUAAAGAGCUCGUAGGCGGUUCGUCGCGUCGGCUGUGAAAACCCGGAGCUCAACUCCGGGCCUGCAGUCGAUACGGGCGGACUCGAGUUCGGCAGGGGAGACUGGAAUUCCUAGUGUAGCGGUGAAAUGCGCAGAUAUCAGGAGGAACACCGGUGGCGAAGGCGGGUCUCUGGGCCGAUACUGACGCUGAGGAGCGAAAGCGUGGGGAGCGAACAGG